GGGAGAGGGUGUGAGGUGCCUGCCUUCUCGGGGCUUGGGAGGGAAGGCCCACGGCGCUCAAGGUAAUAGGGUCCCCAGCCCUGGAAUCAACUCCCUGGGUCUCGGAACGCAACCCACACAAACCUGGACCCUGUCUCUCACUGGCGGGGAGUCGCCUUCGCAUGCAGACGUGGAGAAGUCGCCUCCACCCGCAGCUCCUCCCGUGGACCCAGGCCGCCUCCCCCACGCCCCUCCCGGAGUCCCCAGACCCUCCGUGGCGCUCCUGGUACCGCCCCCACUGCCCCACUCACAAAGAGCCUCAGCUUCUUCUCGGGGGGCGACUUCCUCAGCCAGCCGCUGUACAGCACGUGGCCACUUCUCGUGCUUCCGCCGGCGGGGCCACUUCCGGGCCACGAAGACAAAGGCGCAAAUGCCGGGUCAGCUAUCCGUGCCCACCAUGGGUCUCACCUCCUCCUUCUGUGAGUGUCUGUCCGGUGGCUGUCGGGGAGGGUCUCCAGCACUUGUGCUGCCCCUGGGACCCUCACUGACCCUGGGCUCCUGGUCUGCCCACCCCUUCGAUUCCCCUGGAGUCACACAUUGGCACCAGAGUCAGGAAUGGGCUCUGCAUUUCCCCCUCUGUGGGCCUCGUCUGGCUCCCACAGCCCAUGUAUCAGCGAACUACUUGGGGGUCACAUAGGACCCUCCCCUCCCUGCUGAGCUGGCAGUUCAUGCCCCGUGGGUAGGAGGAAGGGCAGAGGGAGAGCUCCAGGGGUGGGCUCCAGUGUGCUCCCUCAGGCUUCUCACUUUGGGCAAAGGACACAGGGCAUGAGGGCCUCUCCCUGCGGUCUGGACCAAGCUGACCUGGGUCUUUACCAGUCAGGAAAAUAAAAUAACUUUUAUCUGAGAAAUGCAAGUGCUUUAAUUAUCAGGCCCAGAAAGAGGCAUUAAAAUGAGACCACAGUCAUGUCCUACUCCCUCACAUUGAGCUGUGUAUUCAUUUCUUGAUACUGCUGUUGCCAGAAGUAGCUAUGAAUUUACCUCAUAAUGCCACACCAGACGCCAUACCCCACACCCUAUAGCUUAACAGUGUACGGCCCAUCACUAAGCAGUGUUAUUGCUAUGAACCAACUAAAAUUCCUGAGGAAUUGUAUCUGCCCCUUCCCUGCCCACCUUGUUUUGCCUUUAAAAAUCAGCUCAUAACUGCUGCUAAUUGCAGUGUAUAUUCAGGAUAACUUGAAUCUAUGCUCCAGAGUUGCAAUCCUGAAGUUUGUCUCAAAUAAAC
rnacentral:lncRNA from 10 species